UCGCCGCUGGUGCGGAAGGGUGAGAUCGGGGGACGGGGUGAAGAAGCGGGGGGGAAGAUAGAGCCGAGAGCGGAUCUUCGGACCCGCGCUCUCUGCUUCGAGGGAUAUAUCCGGCGGUAUAACGAGAUAUAUGCGCGGUGCCCCGGGGACAAUUUCGUCCUCUCCCGCGAACAUUAUGCACGCGGGACGAGUCGCCGUAGCCGCCGCCACCCCCCCCCCCGGGCCCCGUGCGAAAAAUUGUCUCGCGGGGACGUCGUCGCGCGAAAAAAUGCGCGCCGCAUGCGAAUUCCUGGGCGCGCCGCGCGAUGAAAGAGGAUAAUAAGUCAGGCGGUAAUUCUCCUCCUCUCGCUAUCGCGUGUUGCUAUCUACCUGGUAGUGUGGUGGUGUUGCUAUCCGCCGCCACCCUCUCCCCCCCUCCUCCCUCUCUCUCCUUCUCUCGACGAUUAUUCGUUCGCGAGAUAAAUCUUUCGCGCGAGUUUUUACCCCCGCGAUAAUAUCAGCAUUAUCGUCGUUUUUUUUUUCCGUUGAUACGUUAAUUUAGCGGGCAUUAAGGGCUUUGAAAGCAACCUCCUUUUAUCGAGAAGCUUCUGUUAAACGACGAUACGUAUCGCGAAACACGUCUCAGUAUAUGCACUUUGAUUUUCUCAUUACUUUUACAAAGUACGAAAAAAUUCUUCGAUGGCUAAUAUAGAAGAUAAGUGUUGCAACGAAUUGCAAUGUUCAAAGUUUUUCGAAAAAACCGAGUGUUAAUUUCAACGGUGUACAUUGCGCAAACGUUCUUUUACAUGGAGAAAGGAAAAGGGGACAGCGUGGGAAAGUCCGGAGAUGAGGCAACGCAUGAUUCAGCAGUUUCCUUAUUAACGGAUCAAUAGUUAAUCGUGCGAGUAUUCUUCGCGCGUCACGCGAUACGCGACAUUUCAGUAGUGUGAAAUUUUUAUGAGACGCCGCCAGCCGGCGGCCGCGCGGCGACCGACGGUGCGGUAUCGAUUAAUACAUCUGACUGUCACCUUCCGUGAUUAUUCUAAUGCCCCGCGGCUAGAUUCAUCCGGCCGCCUCCGGUCGCCGUAAUCCUGUUUGGUUUUCCCCCCCUCCUCCUACCCCUGGCUGUCCUGGCGUCGUCGGUCGCCCGACUUCGUGAUGCACGUCGACGUUUCGCCGCAGGCGGCGAACGUUGUUUGCGCGACUAGGUGGCGACCUUAAAAACAUCACGUAACCUCCCGAGACGCGAGCUGUAUUUUUAGCGGAACAAGUGUAGAAAUUGCUAAAGCGUAUAUAGAGUUCAUAAUUAUCAUCGCCAAAUGUUAGAGUGCAUUCCCUUUCGUACCCGGAAGAAAUAAAAAAGAAUGGAGAUUAUUUUCAAUUUUUAAACAUACGCUCGCUUUUAAAUAGACACUGAUCAUAUUACAGAUCUUCACGCGCGAAUAUAUACGUAUAAAAAAAAAAAAAACGACGAAAGAGAUACCGAAAAGAAAUUUUAUAUUUACGUCAGGUGUUUCGACAGAGUUUUGUUUAAAGAUUCAAAACAUAUGUUGCUGUACGAUCGUUUAAUUCGAAAUUUCUUCGUAGAUCACGAGUUUAAGGGGAUUUAUGAAAAUCCAAAUACUUCAUGUUUAAAAAUUAUACAGAAUAUUAUUUAAAAAGUAAAACUAAUAUUACAUUGAAAAAAUUGUUACAAAAAGUGUUAAUUAAAAACUAAGCUUCGUAAGGUUUCAAGAUUUGUAAGGUUUCAGGUGUAGGUGAGUAUGAAAUGUCGCAGGCUAGCUGUCACGUCCGACAUUUUUAACGAUAAAAACUUAAGAAUAAAAUAACUUAUAAAUAGUAAUGCAAAUCUUAUUUAAAAAAUCGUUAAUUAAUUUUACGCAGUUAAAAAAUCACAGUGAUGAAAUGCAAGUACGUACUAAAAUUUAACAGAUUGUUAUGUUCUCAACAAUAUUGCUUUACGGCACAACUUACUAUAUUCAAAUCUCCUUCUGUUUGUGGUAACUAUCUAAGUCUAGACCAACGUUAUAAUUGUGAGAUUUUUAAUAUAGUUUAAACAAACCAUGAUUUAUAUUAACUGUAAUAUGAAUAAUUGUAAAAAUAUGAUUAGGUCUCAAAAUGUCUAUAAAUUAUAGUGGUAUUUACAGUUACUAUUUUUCUCUUUCGGUGUAAGAAGAUGAACCUCGCCCUGCUUUACCGGAGCAUCGUCUCGCCUUUAAUGUAGGCGUCGCGGGAUCCAGUUAACUCCUCAGCAAAAUUCUCGUCGCAAGCUCGGCGGCAUGGCUCCGGGGGUGUCACGCCGCUUUGCGGACGGGGGUGGCGGUGACGGCAUGCAGACGGAAGGUAGGGUGAGGCGACGCGGCGUUCUGGUCACGAAAGCCUCCGAGGGCACACGCGCCUCCGUCCCGGAAUCCCAUGGCACCGAGAAACUUCCCUUCCGAAGGGAAAGUGCGCCAGGGGAAGGGGGUAUUCUCUCGAAUAAGCCGCGCGUGAUGUCGAAGCCUCGGAUCGCGAUUCACGGACACGGAUUGGCGGGUCGCGCGAUUAAUUGAGAACUUUCCUUUCGACUAAAAAUCGACAAAGGGGAUGAAAUCAACAAAAGACGCUGUUACGCAGGGAGGGUUUUGAGAAAAUCAUCUCUUGAGAGAAAGUUAUUGUAAUGUUAUAUAAAAUGGCAUGUCGUGUUAAAUUUAUUUAAAAUUUUUUCCAACUUCCCUCAGAAUCGCGUCGAGUGCGGAGAAUUGAGAAAAAAAUAUGCUGUACAAAGACAACAAAAAUGAAAUUAAAAAAUUUCAAAAUCUAAUGAAUUAGGAUAACUGUCCUAAUUCCUGCUGCUUUUUUUUUUUAGUUGUACUUAGUAUUAGAAGAGAAAUUGUAAAAAUUUUAUAUAUCAAGAUUAUUUUAAUGUUAAAUUACAAUUACCAUAUAAAUGUAAGUAAUAUAAAUGCGUUGCGCAAUAAAUAGGGAGGCAAUAUUAAAUAUAUGCGGCAGUAAUUGGAACAGUUAUGCUAUUGUUACAUAAUGAAAUUAAUAUACUUUAGAAAAUAAAACGGUCAUAGAUACAAACAAUCUACAACUGAAUUAAAUACACAGUUAACCUAUAUUUGUCAUUACAUUUAUACUUUAAUAUAUUUCUUAAUUAGAACAACUUUUUAGGUAAUAAUAAAAUAUAAUAAGAGCUAAAAGAAAUGCGCGCGCGCGCACAAGUAAGGAGGAAAAGCAAACAGGCGGCGAUGGGAAAGGUUUGUUUGUCAGAAGUUGUCGGCCUCGCAUAACUCUCGGGGCUUAUGCUACGGAUAUACGUCAAUCCUCCGCGCGCGUGAGCGAGCAGGCGAGCGAAAAUCCACAAGGGGGUGGGCGUAACGAGGGGGAGGACGACGAGGCGUCCUCGUUUCGGAGAGCCCCGAGUCCUCCGUUAAAUUAUUCCGGGGCGCUUUCCGCGCGCGCGACGAAUGGACCGGCGAGACGUUUUAAAGAGUCCCGCGAGAGAGUCGGCCGCCUAUAAAUACGCGGGUUAAGGAAACGGUUAAAAUUAGCACCUGCCCGGCGCGUUGCGUCGCGUCGCCUGGCGUCUUUAAGAAGCGGGCUUGAAUUUUCAACGCUGCUCAUCGCCCGGAAAUGAAUCGGCGGCAGGUACUAUCGUCCGUUUUCUCAAUCUCUUCGAUGACAGGAUAUAUGAAUUUCAAAUACGCGCUAAUCCCUGUGGAAUAAUAGCGAUACCGUGUAGCAUCUUUGCAAUUACAACAAGCGAAUAACAAUAAAAAUUUUGGAAAUAAUCAUACAAGAGCACAACACCUUUUCCUCCCCCUCGUAGUCGAACGUCGACGAAACUGAUUUUACAAAUUUCACGUUCCGAUGGGAUUCGAUUUGUGUAAUCGGUUUUUUUUUCUAAGAUCGAAAAUAACCGUAAAAUAUCGAACGCCCUGCCAAUUUCGCGCAAAUGCAUAACGCAGUUAAAGUUUUCGCCCCUCCGCGCUGUGUAUGCGCGGGUAUAAGUGUAUUUCCUGAUGAUAAACGAAUUGACGCGAAAUGAUAAAAUUGGCGAUGAAACGUGAGCACACAUUUGACGCGAUACAAUUGAAACUUCAUGACGCGGCGCAGGUAUCCGCACGCGCGAUGGAACAGUUAUAAUUUUUCAUGAACCUCCGGGUAAACGAAAUUAUUAGCCCGGUGACGAUCGGACGCGCCUCGCGUUUCGGUCGCCCGCGCCGAUGUAAUACUACUCAUCCGCCGCGGCGGGAAAUUGUCGCGGAUAUUUUUUCAUGCGUAUGCCGAUAUAAUUGAGUCCGUAAUUGCCGCGGCGGAAUCGGAAUCCGCGGGAGUUUUUUUUUUUUUUUUAAUGCUUUGUCGCGCGGCGUUCGACAACGCGAUACCUACCUAACUCGGGCGGUAUACUCGAUAGCGUUAAGGAAAUCAAACAAAAACGCGGGCGAAACAAAAAGCAUUCCGCGCGCGUAUAUCAUUUUAGAAAGAGAGAGCGAGAGAGAGAGAGAGAGACGCGCAUUAAAAUAGAAUAUAAUAGAAUAAAAUGGAACGAGAUAAAAUGUCGAAUAUAAAAGCGCAAGACUUUUUGUGAUGCAUUGUCGUCAUUAUGCGAGUUGUCACGCGGUGACAUUCAUAUUUUUAGCCAGCGCGACGUCCGCGAUCCUGCCGCGUGACUGCACAAAGAAUUCAGGAGAAGCCCAGAUGGGGGUGUCGCGGCGGCCUUUACCCUUUUGCCGUCUCGGGAGCCGACAGUUCUCGAGGAAAUUUCCUACUCCCUCUCCCUCGCGGCCACCCUUAACGCUGUCAGUCGAAGACACGCAGCCAGUCGGAUCAUUACUCUCGGCGUCUCCGAACUCCUGGACGGGAAUACUCUUGUCUGAACGCUCUCUCUCUCUCUCUCAUUCUCUCUCCUCAGGAUUUCAUCCCUCGAGAGAUUCGGGGCCCCGGGGAGAGGAAGGGAGCGACAGAAGCAAGGGGGAAGGGGAUGCAGGGAGGUAGACAGGAUCCGCAGGAGCACGCCACCGCUACUUUACGAUCAGGAGAGCGUGCAACCAGCCAGCCAGCCAGCCAGCCAGCCAGUCAACCAGCCCGCCAGCCAGCCAGCCAGCCAGCCAGCCACCCUGCCACGCCAUGGAAUAUUGAUAUGUAAAUAUAGCAGCCACGGUAGCGACGGCGGCAACGGCGGUGGCGGCGGCAGCAGCCCUGCAGCAGCGGUUAGAGGGGCGCUAGCAGGUUAACGAGCGGCUCGCAGAGUGGCGCGGUCGAGGGUAGGGGGUAGCGCGCGUGGGUGGGUGGCCGGGCGGUGGUUGGGAUGAGGUGGUUAGCUCGGCUGGCUCGAGGGGACGGCAGCGACGCGGCGAUGGCGUGGCGGUGGCGGCGCGGCGCGGCGGGCGAGCGACGGACGGGCGUGGGCGAGGCGCGAGGGGACGAGUUUGGGGUGAGAGUGUGUGUGUGUGUGUGAGUGAGAGAGAGAGAGAGAGAGAGAGAGCUGCGGGAGCGAACGAGGGAGGAGACGGUUGGGUCGCUGCCGGCAGUAUAACAGAGACGGCCGGGCGUGCCGCGGAGCGUGCCACCAAAGGGGAUGAGAAUUUUCCGGCGGCGGCGAAAGUACUGUCCGCGCGGCGCCCCCGCGAAAAAUCCGCGUAAAAUCCGCGACGCCGCCCGGACACGCUUGAAUUCGACGUCGCGAUUCCGCGAGUGCGACCGGAUCUUAUCAGAGAGACACUUUUUUUAUAGGCGCCGCGUGCGCGACGCGAGGACGGAUCUAGAGGCGAUAGAGCGGACAAUUGCAUGUCGGCGGUGUAUAGGGACAUGCCCUGCGGGACACGGCGUGGAACGGGGUGGUUGGAACGGGCCGCGGAAACACGGAGAGGGCGGGAACACGCCGGCCGAGCCGAGGGUUGACGAGACGGGGGGUGCGACGGGCGGGGCCGCGGGCCGCUGGAGGGUGACUACGGCUUUCCGCACGCGCCUGUAUAGGUGAAUACGUGUACGUGCGAGAGUAUAGGGACGGUCUGCGGGCGAGAGCACGUACGAGGGCACGGAGAGUCGAAGGGUAUCUUCUAUAGAUGAGAACGGGAAAGGGAUGGUGAGCCGUUCGGUCGAGGGCUGAGUUCGACAUCGAACUUCUCUCUCUCUCUCCCCCUCUCUCGCGCGUUCCCUUUUUUCUCGCUCUUUCUCUCCCUCUUCAUAUUCUUCUUUUUCCUCCUUCCGCUUCCACGAUUUUUCCACCACCUCUCACUUUUUUUCCUUUCUUCACAUCCCGCUCUCGUUCCUCGUCACUCCCCGCGGCUUUUCCCGUUGCCACCUUUGUCUUCACGCGUUGGAACGCGCGUUGGAUUUUUGACGGAAGCCCCGAGAAAGAGGGAUGAUCACGCGAGGCUCGGGAGACGGUCGAGUUUAUGCGAGUUGGUCGUGGGCGAUGCCUCAUGAAAAGGCGCUUUGUUACGUCUGUCGCUAAUGGAGGAGCAACGUUCGCUCGUAGGCUGCCUCUUGAAUGAAAGGUGUUCUUUUUUUUUCUACCGUUCCGCAGCGCGCGCCUUUCGUUAGCGGUCUGUGGCAUUCGUAUCUCGAAAAAUCCGCACUAUUCAAUUAUUCUGAUUUAUUAACGCGGGGAGAGAGAGAGAAAGAGAGAGAGAGAGAGAGAGAGGGAGAGACAGACGAAAUAUUAUAGAGAACACGUCGUUAACAAACUUAAUAUCUCCGUGAUUGAAUCUAGUGACAUUUUCAAGUGACGGAAUUAAUUCUUUUAUGCAUAUAACGCGAUUGAUUUUUUUCCUUGCAUUGAGAGAGCGAAAAGCGCAUUUUUUUCCUCAAAAUCCAAAAUAAAUUAAAAUCUAAAAAUUGGUCUAAAAUCUUAUUAAAAUAUCAAAAUGAUUGACUUUCGAACUUAUUGAAUUCAGGUCAUUACGUUAAAUAUAGAUAAAACUGUAUUUUACUUGAAAUGUUUCAUUAGCUUCACUCUAUAGUUAAUAUCAAUAUGUCGUUAAACAAAUUUCUAAUAAAUAAUCAAUAAUGUGUACGAAAAAUAUUAAAUGCAAAAAGUAUUUUUAAGUCACGAUUAAGAAUCAAAUGAAGAUAGUUUCGAUAAGUUUCGCCCUGAGACAUUUUCGAUGACUCGUAAACGGUCUUUUAUAUCUCUCCUACCUUUAUAUCCCUCAUUUAUCUGCAUCUCUUUCGCCCUGUUUAGCACUCUACUUUUUUCUCUUUCUCCCUUCCUCUCUCUCUUUCUCUCUGUCUCGCCUCGUGGCGCGCACAGUUCUCAACCCCAUCCCUAUUCGCGGUCACAAUCAUACUUACCGACAAUAUUGCCCAAUUACUCUUCGCACGGUCGUUCUACACAUUUGCGCAUCACACGCACGCGAAUACAAUACGCGGUUCCGAACGCGUUUUACGAGAAAUAUGGUUAAAAAAAUAUCUCGCUCGACGCGCCCGUACUAAAUUCAGCGAAUUUAUUGCAUUAAUUUAAUUCUCGCGGGGCGGAACGCGCUGUGACGUCCAACUGACGGGACAUAAUGAAAAUUAACAAUUAGCGAGUUGUGGCACGUAACAGUGCCUGAAGUUAGUCACGAAGGUCUAUCUAGGUCUAUCUUCGUCUAGAAGAAUUUUACAGUGCGCAAUAAAGACGCUGAACUUCACUUAAAAAUGCAUCUAGUUCAACAAUAUUGCGCAUCGAUGACAUAUCAAAGAUUUAUAACUUUCUUCCGUCAUUUUUUUAACUAUAUAAAAUAUCUCAAUAUGCCAUAUGCAUACUUAAAAAAAUUUUCUAUUUAAAAAAUAAAAAUGCUUAAAUAGAACUGAGUUUAUGAUGUAAGUUAUAAUACGUUGAAAUAAGGUUGUGAUAUUAAAUUAGAAUUGUGUCUUGUGAAUCAAAUUUUUUUUUCAUUGAUUUAUAUAAUUAUUUUCCUUAACGAUUCGAAUAUGGAUUCCGACUCGAUUGUCUUGGCAAUUUUUUGCUCUCGCGUAAGCGAGUCGAUAAACGAACUUCCUUUCCACAGUGUCUCGUAAGCGAUAUCUAGCAAUCGUUUAUCCUUGCGGCAUUGGUGCAGUUGCAACGUGAUAAUCGCGUCGCUUGGCAAACUGAUUCUAACACGCACGUGCACCGUUUUGUCGUAGUCAGACGUAAUCUAACGAAAAUGUAAUAUUGUUCGUGUAAAAAUCUUCCAAUGAAUAAACAAUUUCACUAUAAUUUUCGAUACUACAAUCAAUUAUGAAAAUAAUAGACAUCUAUUUUCACGCGGUAUGUUCUUAAGAAUCAAAAUGAGAGCGAAUUAAAAUAUCUUUUACCUGAUUUCAAACACCUGUAAUAACUAUGUAUUCUAUGCAAGUCGCAUCAUUCUUCUGAAUUUUGCAAGGAAAUAUAUAUUAUACACAGCAUAAAAACAUAUAAUUUUUAAAAUUAUUAAAAAACACAGCAAUUCUUGUUGCGGCGGAAGAAAUAAUAUUAUUUUAGUACAAAUAUAAAUUAUCGAUGUUCUCCGUACAUUAGUACGCGAUCGCGAAAUUCCUCGUUCCUGUUCUCACGUCGAGUGCCGGACUCGUCCUUCUUCCGCCGCAAGGUUGUCAAUGACGAAGACCUUAUCUACGCUCCGCAGCGCCGGCGGAGCUUUUUACGAUUGGCUCGGUCGUUAAGCGUGACCGUACCGCCGCCAUAAAGCCUGUCAAUCGUCGUGACGAAAAGCCAAAGAAACUAGAACGGGGAGAGAGCGAAGCCAAGCGAAAGAGAGUAUCGCGCGAAUCGAUUCGGCCGAGUGUAAAAGGUGUCCCUUACAUCGCGUUUAAAAAAGGUUGGCUCGAAAUACUAGCUCGAGCGAACUCUGCCCGUACAAAGAGAUGAUACCGAAAGAUACGAAUCAUCAGGGAAAAUUCAUUUUUCUUUCUCCUAAAUUUAUAAUUUGUUAACUGCGAUUUCCAUAUUAAUGCAAACAAACCUAUCGGAAUAUCUGUGAACAAAGAUUUUUGUAAAUCGAGAGAGAGAGAAAGAGAAUUCUUAAAAAAAAAAAAAAAAAAAGGAAAAAUCUGCUAGAAUUCUUUCGGGUAUAGAAUCCCAUUUCUGAAAUUACCUCGUUCCUGCUAUCCUCGUGCAUAGUCCAACGAUAGCUCUAACUUCAAAGGAUCGCCUUGGCAAGAGAAUUCUUCGGCUGGCUCUUCUGGUUGAGAGUCGAAAGCGUUACCGCGGCUCCUUUAACAUUUUCGGGGCGCUGCGCAUUCGCCGCCCGAGAUUGCUGCCGCUUCUCCGGCAGGUGGUUAAAGGGUUGGAUAUGCAUCGCACGACGACGAGAGGGAAGGGAGCUGAGAUGGGAGCCCGGGGAAGUCGGGCGGAAAAGGGGGGGAGAAGAGAGAGAGAGAGAGAGAGUUGGAAGCAUUGCCGUGGGGCUUCCGUUUACGGGCGUCGCGACGCCGACGACGAGCAGAGGGUAGGUCGUAGAGUCCUACGUUGGCUGGUGAGGUAAUCAUCCCAGCCGGUUACGAUGCUGUUAAACGUCGCUCCAUGAAGACCCUGUCCCUCCCCCCACACCCGCCCGACUCGCGCACCGACCGUCACCCUACCGCCAUCCACAGACUCCAGUCCUCUCAGCCAGUUUAACCCUUUCGUCGUCGUCGUCGUCGUCGUCCGUUCGACUUUCGCACGACCGUCGCGCUAAUUUUUCUUUCGCACGGGAUAUCGAUCACUGUCUUCUUUUUUUUUCCGGAUGCAAUUUGUAAGCUCGAUAAUUUAUCGUACGCGAGCUUUCUCGAAAUUAAGACCUGACGUUUUCUUGUAGUAUUUUUUUUGUCUCCCCCCCUCCUCCCGCGACAGAAUGAAUGACGAUACAUCAUUCGCGAACUUGGUUCCUUAUCAAUUUCUACAUUAUGUAUGUACUUUAUUAAUAAUAACGGUCAAAUUAAAAAAAGAAAUUCAGCUGUUACGAAUUAAAACUGUUGUUAACUAGGACUACUUGAUCUCCUUCGUCGACCGAUACAGGUCUGCAGUCUUCUCUAUUGUUAGGUAAAAUCUCCGAAGCUCGUUACGGACGGUUGUGCGUGCAACGUCGACGACGGCGUCGGCGAGGGGAAUGAAUAAAUUUGAGCGCUGGCGAUGUUCUUGCGCGCGCGGCUCGGGAUUUUCCGAGGAUCUUGGGAACGGUGUCAUCUCGUUAAGCUCGCGAAAGAGGACCCUUCAGCGCACACGGUGGAAGAAGGAGGCGGGGGGAGGAGGGGCAGAAUUCUCUCGGGGGAGGGCAAAUCCCGUCGCUCGUACGGCACACCUGCGCUCGUCGCCUCGUCAUCGAGGAGGCAUUACGACCCCCAGGGACGCUGUUCCUGCCAUUACAGAAACAAUAACAGUCCCCGGUAGAACGCGAGUUCCCGUCUCCGAGACAGAAUCUCCGUGUCGUUAUUUAAAUUUUUACCUCUGCCUUAACGCGUCAUGUUUACCGAAUUUAUUGAUUUAUAAUGAAACAAUUGGAAACGUAGCUGUUGCGUUUCUCAAACUUAAAAAAUAGAUAUAUUAAUACAGGGAAGAGUUACCGAAUGCGUAGCACUUAAGAUAUUUUUCAUUAUAUUAUUUCCUAUUUGUUAAUGAUUUGUACGCAAACCGAUCGUCUAUUGUAAAUCGGUCUUGCAUCGCCUUUGAAUGUAUCGAAUUAAAAUAAAAUAAAAUAAGAUUUCGCAAAAACUUUACUGAAUAUCAAUAAAAUCCUACCAAGAAAAUCCACGAAUUUCGAGGAUAAAAAAAUUCCAGGUUUUCCCGGUUUUCUUUUCUAAUAGUAAACGUUAUCUAUAUCUUGAUCAAAUUGUCGUCAUUGCGAAACCUAGGGAUGAUAAGUGACAAGCGUAAUAUAACAAGUAACUCACUCACCGACCAACACGUUGCCGUCGUUUUGCUCCUCUUCGCUUCCGAGUGUCCCUUUCCUUCACGUAGUCCUUCACCCUUGAUCGUACACACACACACUACCAUUGACACUCGACACGUAUCGUCGUACGCGAACGAGCGAACAAUCAAGUUUUAGAUCAUCGCGACACUGCAUUUACGAAUUUUACGAAACGCGAUUGGCCGCCGCCGCUCGAUUAGAUUCAUUCUUGAUUAGUUCUCGUUUACACGCAG